CAACACUGACACUGAGGCACGAAAGCGUGGGAGCAAACAGGAUUAGAUACCCUGGUAGUCCACGCCCUAAACGAUGCGAACUGGAUGUUGGGUGCAAUUUGGCACGCAGUAUCGAAGCUAACGCGUUAAGUUCGCCGCCUGGGAGUACGGUCGCAAGACUGAAACUCAAAGGAAUUGACGGGGCCCGCACAAGCGGUGGAGUAUGUGGUUUAAUUCGAUGCAACGCGAAGAACCUUACCUGGGCUUAAAUUAUGCAUGAAUGAUCUGGAGACAGGUCAGCCGCAAGGCAUGUAUGAAGGUGCUGCAUGGUUGUCGUCAGCUCGUGCCGUGAGGUGUCGGCUUAAGUGCCAUAACGAGCGCAACCCUUUU
rnacentral:rRNA from 1 species